ACCCACAUAAAGCAAGGCCGUUAACACUACUCACGAGUUGCGCGCGUAUGGGUGCGAGCCCCAACGAGCUACUCGCCGUUCUAUGGGACCCCACGUGUCCCCUCCACGGUUGCCGGGGGGAGGAGGGGAGGGGCGGGCCGACGACGUGCCCCUCUGAUAUACGCUACCUGCAUAUACCGGCAUGUACCUGUAUAUGCCUUCAUAUUACCAUACAUCACGUGUACGUGUACGUGUAAGAUGAACCAGAGAAGAUGGACUUGUUAGAUGCGUAAGACAAGUGGACCUGUAUGUCGAAAUGCGUGUGCGUGCACGAGAGAGCUUGAGAGUCUGUAUACAGGUCUGAAUCUGUUCCUAACUACGUAAAUAAUUAACCGUUGAUAGAGAGAGGUGGAGAAAUAUUAUUAUGACCUGAAAUAUUAUUAUGUUUACUGAUGCAAUCAUGUUAUACGGAUUAAUAGAGAGUAAAGGGGGGGAUGGAAAGCGAAGGAAAAAAAAUUAGUUGUUUUCAAAUAUUUCUAUGUUAUCUAUUCGAUUAUGCUUGUAUGCUUGUCAUAAGCUCUCACUAGAUUUCAAUAUCCAUAUUCAAUGAAGGUGAUUAUUUGUUAAAAAUGUGUACAAGCAAUAUUUGGCGUUAAAAAAAUUUUAUCGAAGAAAUGUUCCAAAGAACAGAAGAGAAAAUCAGUGUCACUGUUUGUAUUUAUCGAAAAGCAAAGUAAUAAAGGAUACGUAUACCGAAAGUUAAGCGAGAGAAAAAAGUUAGGUCCUGGGUCCUGUUCGUGUAGUACUUAUGUAGCAUUUAUAGCGUGCGCGCUGAAUGCACAUCCGUAUACGAGUGUGUGCGUGACUGGACAAGUUAGUAGGUCACACGGAUUCAAGAAUAUAUCAGUGGGCGUGAGUCGUACACACUAAUAUCCAACAUUAUCGUAUACCCAUGGAGAACUGUGACUUCAAACGCGGCUUCACAAGGUACCUUGAUCUUGACUAGAUGCAAGGUCCAUUUCGCUGUCGUCGUACGUUCAAUAAGGCAUUGCUCCUAUUUGCUUUCGCAUUGUUUGCAUUACUGCCGCGUAUUAAACGGAUUUCAUGCGUAGCUAGACUUUAAAUAGGGAAAGUUUUAAAACUUAUUAUAUAUUUACAAAUUUUCCGUUAAAUCUAUUCGUAUAAUGUA